AGUGAACGCUGGCGGCGUGCUUAACACAUGCNAGUCGAACGAGAACGGGUAUUAGCUUGCUAAUACUGUCAGCUAAGUGGCGCACGGGUGAGUAAUAUAUAGUUAAUCUGCCCUAGAGAGAGGGAUAACGUUUGGAAACGGACGCUAACACCUCAUAUGCCUUUAAAACAUAAGUUUGCAAGGGAAACAUUUAUGGCUCUAGGAUGAGACUGUACGGUAUCAGCUAGUUGGUGAGGUAAUGGCUCACCAAGGCAAUGACACCUAACUGGUUUGAGAGGAUGAUCAGUCACACUGGAACUGANACACGGUCCANACUCCUACGGGAGGCAGCAGUGGGGAAUAUUGCACAAUGGACGAAAGUCUGAUGCAGCAACGCCGCGUGGAGGAUGACACUUUUCGGAGCGUAAACUCCUUUUAUAUAGGAAGAUAAUGACGGUACUAUAUGAAUAAGCACCGG
rnacentral:rRNA from 1 species